AUUGAACGCUGGCGGCAUGCCUUACACAUGCAAGUCGAACGGCAGCACGGGAGCAAUCCUGGUGGCGAGUGGCGAACGGGUGAGUAAUAUAUCGGAACGUGCCCGGUCGUGGGGGAUAACGUAGCGAAAGCUACGCUAAUACCGCAUACGAUCUGCGGAUGAAAGCGGGGGAUCGCAAGACCUCGCGCGAUUGGAGCGGCCGAUAUCAGAUUAGGUAGUUGGUGAGGUAAAGGGCUCACCAAGCCGACGAUCUGUAGCUGGUCUGAGAGGACGACCAGCCACACUGGGACUGAGACACGGCCCAGACUCCUACGGGAGGCAGCAGUGGGGAAUUUUGGACAAUGGGCGCAAGCCUGAUCCAGCAAUGCCGCGUGCAGGAUGAAGGCC
rnacentral:rRNA from 1 species